UACGUAGGGUGCAAGCGUUGUCCGGAAUUAUUGGGCGUAAAGAGCUCGUAGGCGGUUUGUCGCGUCUGCUGUGAAAACUGGAGGCUCAACCUCCAGCCUGCAGUGGGUACGGGCAGACUAGAGUGUGGUAGGGGAGACUGGAAUUCCUGGUGUAGCGGUGGAAUGCGCAGAUAUCAGGAGGAACACCGAUGGCGAAGGCAGGUCUCUGGGCCAUUACUGACACUGAGAAGCGAAAGCAUGGGGAGCGAACAGG
rnacentral:rRNA from 1 species